AGAAGCCCACCCCGAACGGCACAAAAUAGGAAAAAAGAAAACCCACCCCAUCUUCCCCAUCUUGUCGUCGACCCACCACAUCCGGCACCCCGCUGCCGGCCACCUCCCGGCGCCCCGGCUUCUUGACCCGCCGCCAGCCACCUCCGGCGCCCCAACUUCUUGACCCGCCGCCAGCCACCUCACCAUGCCCCUGAUUCUUUCCCUGCCACCUCCCCGCGGCCCGACUUCUUUCCCGCCUCCGGCCUCCUCCUCGCGCCCCGGCUUCUUCCCGGCCGUCGGCCUCCUCCUCGCGCCCCAGCUUCUUCCCCGCCGCCGGCCUCCUCCUCUUGCCCCGACUUCUUCCCCGUUGCCGGCCUCCUCCUCGCGCCCCAGCUUCUUCCCCUCCGUUGGCCUUCUCGUCGCGUCCCGGCUUCUUCCCCGCCGGAGCGGCCAACCACAAGAUCCGGUCGCCACAUCCCCAUGACGCCCCCAGCAACGGCGCCCGGACCUCGACACCACCCGGCUCGGGGGACUCCAAGCCCCGGCGCUGCCGACCCCUGCACUACCUCAUCCGGCGACGAUCCACGCCAUCACUCUGCCUCGUUCCGGUGGGGGAUCCAUGGCCACUACGCCAGUCCAAUACCACCGCCGCAAGCCGGCCACAUCCACAAUGACCAGACCGGCUGCCCCGCGCCUCAGCCCCCCGUAUGCACGCCACCAAGUGCCUCUGUGCACUACCCCCGCCUCCCCCAUCAGGUUGCAGCCCGAGCCACACGGUGCCGCAUCUUGUUGAGAUCACUGCCUUGCCGUGGUUCCAGCGGUACACAGGAGGAUGGAUGCCCUGGUGCCGUACGCCCAGGUUUUGAUGCGAUGCUCUUCUGCUCAUGACGCUGGAGCCCUAGUGCCCCACUACACAUGAAACGAGAGACAUGUACAGAAGUUCACCUAAAAAAAGGCUAGCAGUUCUUCCCAAAGAGACAACAGUUCUAAGAAAAGAAGGUAGAAAAAAAGGGUAGCUCAACGUACAAAAAAUUGGAGGUUUAGAGACCACAAACAAAGACGAAAACAAUUUCAGUGGCACAAUCAGUUUAGUUUCUAUUUUUAGUUCAGUUCAAUUAUUAUUUUUAGUUUCGUUCAGUUCAAUAUUGUCAAUGAACUGAUAUACAUACAAAUAAGAAAUUAUAUUCAUUUAUUUGGUACAGACUUAGUUAUUAGUUUUGGAGACCAGAAUAUCAGUUCAGUUAUUUUAUCAUUUUGUACCGAUUCCACUCAUUGUAUGAACUGGUGCAUCACCAUGGAAGUAAAAAAGAAAGGAAACAUCAGUCCAGCUACUAGACAUGGAUGUGAUUUUCUAUGUAAAUAUCUAGCGGGAGCUGCAGCUGGUGAGCGUCUGUGCCCUGCUGAUUGCGUGCAAGUACGAUGAGAUUUGGGCUCCAGAGGUACGUAGGUUGAAUGAUGGAUCAUCCAUCCAUUCUGCUGUUCGUUCGUUCAUUGAGUCCGCGUUCUGAUUGGUGGCUGUUUUGUGCGUAGGGAUGGCAAUUUUUCCCAUGGGUAUGGGUACCCGUGGGUACCCUACCCGAAAACAAUGAGAAUGGGCAAGACUUGAAGAGAUUUUCUACCCACGGGUAAUGGGUACCCAUAUCCACAAAAUGUAUGGGUAGGGCAUGGGUAAGAAAUUGUGCCCAUGGGUAACCCAAUGGAUACCCAGAAAAAAAUAACAAAUGAAAAUAAUUCCUAUAACAUGUGGGGUUAACAUCCAACUCAUAUGGUCUAACCCUAAAUCUUGUAUUCCUUAAACAAGUCAUAGCUCAUAGGCUCAUAAUCACCUGCUUGCCACUCCUCAUACGUCCUAUGUGACUCCUCAAAAAUAUGAAAUAUCGACUCUUCGCUACCAGACUCUUGUCGAACACUCGAUCCAGCGAUCCCCAAUUCCCACCACCGCCUUCCACUACGUCGGCCUUCCACCAACCGCUGCUCAUACUCCCCUGAUGCCUCCAAGAGGCCACCCACUGGAGGAGGCCACAUACGUGCUAUAGUUCUCUACCAUGAUCACUUGAAUUUUGAACUCAUUUCUCUACCUCUUAAGAAUUUGAAUGCUAUAUAUUGUACCCAAUGGAUACCCAUUGGGUAUAGGAUACCCGAUGGGUAUGGGCAUGGGUGUCAGUUUAUACCCAUGGGUAUUGAAGUGGGUGGGUAUAAAAAAUUUCUAUGGGUAUGGGUUUGGGUAGAAGGAGGUUGUACCCGCCCAUACCCUACCCAUUGCCAUCCCUAUUUGUGCGCCAACCUGCAGGUGAAUGACUUCAAAUUGUUCUCCGACAACACAUAUACAGGGAGCAGAUUCUGAGGAUGGAGAAGGCAAUCCUGAACAUGCUUGAGUGGAACUUGACAGUGCCCACACCUUACGUCUUCCUUGUCCGAUUCGCCAAGGCCGCGUCCUCCUGAGAUAAGAAGAACGGCAAGGAGGUAAAAGGAACACCAGAUUUUUAGCAAAUUCUUCAGAUGUAGUACGUAUCUUCCAUUUUGCCAAAGCAGUGAGUCUAUGUGCUGAAGUUUCUCGCGUCUUCUCUUGGAUGUAUUUGUCUAAAUGGAGAGCACUGUCUUUUUUGUGUGGAGCUGGCGCUGCUGCAGUAUGGACAGGAACAAUGCGUUGAUGUCGAGCAAAACACAGAGACAAGGUUAGAAAGUUCAACAUGUGAUUGGAAUUCAGUGCAAAAGCUGCAGGUGCGAGAUGGCGGCCGCCGACGUUGCUAAAUCCUUCUACAAACUAGUGGUUGGCUGCUUCGAGCGGUAAAUGUGGUCGGAUUCAGCAGCUAGCUCUUCCUCGAGCAACCAUUUGGAGAAUUUUAUUGUCUUCUUGUGGUGGUGAUUGAUUUUAGGAUCAGUAAAUUUGACAUUGGUAGCUAGCUUGCGUAUGGAACCUGCAAGUUCAAUAUUGGUAUUAGAUUUAGUUUCUUGUUGUACAAAUGUCCCAGUUCAGCUACAGAAAUCAUGCAGGUUUAGUGAUGAUGAUACCAUAAGUUCGGACAAGAAAAUUUAUGUAUAUGAUGAGAUGAUUGCUACUUCUUCAAAGAAGGUAUUGUACAUGACAGCUUGAUGUGCAUACAAGAAUAAAGAAAAUGUUUGAAUCAAAAA